rnacentral:rRNA from 1 species
GUAGGUGGCAAGCGUUGUCCGGAUUUACUGGGCGUAAAGGGCGUGCAGGCGGUCUGUUAAGUCUAGGGUGAAAGCUCCCGGCUCAACUGGGAGAGGUCCUUGGAUACUGGCGGACUUGAGGGAGGUAGAGGAGAGUGGAAUUCCCGGUGUAGUGGUGAUAUGCGUAGAUAUCGGGAGGAACACCAGUGGCGAAGGCGGCUCUCUGGGCCUUACCUGACGCUGAGACGCGAAAGCGUGGGGAGCGAACCGGAUUAGAUACCCGGGUAGUCCACGCCGUAAACUAUGGACACUAGGUGUGGGGGGUAUCGACCCCCUCCGUGCCGAAGCUAACGCAGUAAGUGUCCCGCCUGGGGAGUACGGCCGCAAGGCUAAA